rnacentral:piRNA from 1 species
UCGAAGCCCAUUUGGAUCGCGGAGAUCGA